CUGCUGUGGAUCGUUCCACUUUCUCUGGAGGGGCAGCCUCAGUUCCAUCAAAAAAACCCGUAAGGAUAAAUGCAAGAAAAACGCAUCUUAGCUCCAAGAUCUCAGUUUGCACUGGGAGCCUAUUUAUAUAAAUUAUAUAAAAAGGAAAAAGCACCAUAACGUGGUCGAAUGGAUGCUAGGCAACUCUUUUUUAUUAUAAGAUGAACGAAGCUGCAUCGCUCAGCGCAACAAAAAAAUAGCUUAGCUAGAAAAAAAUAGCAUUUCUAGAUAGAUGAAAGCGAAAUCUGCCCUGCCCUGUAUGGAUAGAUGGAUAGAAUGAUAUGCCUGUACUGUCUUCUAAAGUCCCAAGAAAGUAUUCU
rnacentral:lncRNA from 1 species